rnacentral:rRNA from 1 species
GGGGAAUUUUGGACAAUGGGCGCAAGCCUGAUCCAGCAAUGCCGCGUGAGUGAAGAAGGCCUUCGGGUUGUAAAGCUCUUUUGUCAGGGAAGAAACGGCUGAGGUUAAUACCUUUGGCUAAUGACGGUACCUGAAGAAUAAGCACCGGCUAACUACGUGCCAGCAGCCGCGGUAAUACGUAGGGUGCAAGCGUUAAUCGGAAUUACUGGGCGUAAAGCGUGCGCAGGCGGUUUUGUAAGUCUGUCGUGAAAUCCCCGGGCUCAACCUGGGAAUUGCGAUGGAGACUGCAAGGCUAGAAUCUGGCAGAGGGGGGUAGAAUUCCACGUGUAGCAGUGAAAUGCGUAGAUAUCAGGAGGAAUACCGAUGGCGAAGGCAGGUCUCUGGGCUGACACUGACGCUCAUGCACGAAAGCGUGGGGAGCAAAC